UCAGAUUAAAUUGGAGUCUGUUGAGAUGUGCUCUCAUUUCAUUUUUGUUUCUAGACGUCAUUCUUUUUGUAACUACCUUGUCAAUCUAGACGUCAUGUCACGUGAUCCUAAUCAGUGAAUUGGUCACAGGUAUGCUGUCUCUAAUUAAAACAGCUGAGCCCGUGCGUGCGCGUUGGCUCACUCAGAAAGAAACACUCGUGUGUUAUGUGUGUUUUUUCGCUAAACGUUGUGCAGGAAAAACCCACUCUGCUAACAGGUUAUGGGCCCAGGAUAAUCCCAUAACGCAUAGUUUUAAGUGACCUGCCAGGUGAAAGUCGCUGCUUGUACUGCGUGCACCUGAGAGCCGAGAGAAUGAGCAGAAAGGGAAAGGAGGCAACAAGUAGCCGCUGGGCGAGGCUCUUUUUUGACGGUGACGAGAAAAAGUAUGAGAUAUGGGAAACCAAGUUUUUGGGCCAUCUCUGUCUCCAAGGAUUGAAAGGAACGAUCCUAAAUGAACCCGACGAUGAAGAUGAUGAAGAUGACGUGAAGAACGCAGAGGCCUAUGCGGAGCUCAUUCAGUUUUUGGAUGACAAGAGCCUGUCGCUGGUGAUGCGUGAAGCUGCAGAUGAUGGACGUGGUGCGCUGAAGAUUCUCCGUGAGUACUAUGCUGGGAAAGGCAAGCCCAGCAUAAUUAACUUGUACACAGAGUUAACCUCACUGCAGAAGUCGCCCACCGAGAAUGUCACGGAGUAUGUCAUCAGAGCAGAGACUGCGAUUACAGCCCUGAGGAACGCAGGUGAAACGCUCAGUGAUGGACUUUUAAUAGCGAUGGUGCUGAAAGGGUUACCAGAGACAUUUAAACCUUUUGCCAUACAUGUAACCCAGAGCGAGGAUGAAGCUAAAAUGACUUUCGCUGAUUUUAAGACAAAGCUCCGAAGUUAUGAAGAUGUUGAAAUGGUCCAGCUGGUCCAGAUGUUCACGCAGGCGAUGGUGCAGCCACUGCAAAAAUAACACACACUAUAGUGCGAGCUGCAGACGAAACAAGCAGCGGGAUGACGUGCGUAAAGCCGCAGACGAGACCGGGGGCAAAGAGUAUGCAUUUCGGGUAUGCGACUCCGAUGAAUCAACGCUGGAUAUCAAGCGGAAGGGCCUGAUGGUGGACGCCGGUGCGACGUCCCACAUAAUCACUGACAUCACAAAGUUCAGGAAGUUUGACAGCAGUUUCCAAGCCGGGACCCACUGCGUGGAGCUUGCUGAUGGCUCCAGAUGCAAAGGCGUGGCCAAAUGCAGAGGUGAUGCGGAGGUGUGGCUCAUCGACAGCGGGGGGAGAAGCUUCCGAACAACGCUGAGGGGUGCCUUACACAUCCCGACCUACCCACAAGAUAUCUUUUCUGUGAAAGCUGCCACUUCCAACGGAGCCACCGUGACCUUCAGUGAGAAGAAGAAUGUGCUGCUGCACAGAGACGGUACCAAAUUCCCCAUACACGUACACAACAAACUUUACUACCUGCACACAUCAGAGAACAUGAGUAAGACUGACCAGUGUAAGAAAAGCCUUGAUCUGCAGAGCUGGCAUGAAAUCUUGGGUCAUUGCAAUUAUGCAGACAUAAUGAAACUGAAAAAUGUUGUUAAUGGAAUGGAAAUUAAAGAUGAAGGUAACAAACCUGUUUCACAGUGUGAAGUAUGCAUUCAGGGGAAGUUUAUCCAAACUAGAAACCGAGGGCCAGAUGUGAGGGCUAAAGUGCCGCUAGACAUGGUACAUACUGACCUAGCUGGUCCAAUAGAUCCAAUGUCUAAAGAUGGUCAUAAAUAUGCACUUUCUUUUACAGAUGAUUACUCUAGUGCAAUUUUUGUUUACUUUUUGAAACACAAGAGUGACACUGUACUAGCUACAGAAAAAUUCAUUGCUGAUGUAGCGCCCUAUGGCAAAAUAAAAUGUAUGCGAUCUGAUAAUGGUACAGAGUACACAUGUAGAGAGUACCAAGCAUUAAUGUGUAGGAUGGGUAUUAGGCAUGAGACUUCCGCCCCAUAUUCUCCACACCAAAACGGUACAGCAGAACGCAGUUGGAGAACCCUGUUUGAAAUGGCCAGGUGUAUGCUAAUAGAGAGUAAGCUGCCAAAGAUGCUGUGGACCUAUGCUGUCCAGACAGCUGCUGUAGUGAGGAAUAGAUGCUUCAAUAAUCGCACAAAACAGACACCUUACUACAUGUUAACAGGCAGGCAGCCAAACAUUGCCAGAAUGCAGAAAUUUGGACAAGAGUGUUAUGCUUACAAACAACAAAAAGGAAAGUUGGACUCUAAAUGCGAGAGAGGCAUUUUUAUUGGCUAUGACAAGAAUAGUCCUGCUUACUUGGUGUACUAUCUCAGCACCAGGAAAGUACAAAAACAGAGACUUGUAGAGUUUGUUAGCAACAAGAAGGAGGAGUUACUGGAUGCAGAAGAUGAUUUUGACGUUCAAAAUGAGAGAAAAUCUGUGGCAAUCCCACUAGCUAACCCACAAGUAGGAAGCCAGGAAGUGCUAAACAAUGAGGCAAAUAUGAAAAAUGAACAAAAUGCACAAACAGUGAAGACAGAAAAUGAAGAAGGUAGAAAGGAAGACUACAAACCUGAUGAGGAUAUUACUAAUAUUGACUACUGUUACAGACUCCUUUGUAAUGUUCCUCAAACAUACACAGAAGCAAUCACUUCAGUCAAUGCAAAAGAAUGGGUAGAUGCUAUGGACGAAGAAAUGCAAUCACUGCAAGAUAAUGUAACCUUUACCUUAACCACUCUUCCCAAGGGCAAGGAUGUAGUGGGGGGUAAAUGGAUUUAUGCACUGAAAAAGAACAUUGAUGGAACGGACAAAUACAAAGCCCGAUAUGUAGCAAAAGGAUUUAGCCAAAAGAAGGGGGUAAACUAUGAUGAGACUUUCUCCCCUACAGCUAAUAUGACCAGUAUCCGAGUAUUAGCACAGAAGGCAGCUCAGGAUAAUCUAGUUGUCCACCAGAUGGAUGUAAAAACAGCUUAUCUUCAUGCACCAAUUGAAUGUGAAAUCUACAUUGAACAACCCGAAGGUUAUGAAGUUACAUCAAAAGAAGGCGACAAACUAGUGUGCAAACUACAAAAAUCCCUGUAUGGUCUAAAACAAUCAGGACGCAACUGGAACAAAAUGUUUCAUGAUCAUUUGUGUGAGAUGCAGUUCGUCCAGAAUCCGGCUGAUCAUUGUGUUUAUAGCAGAAUUACUGACACAGGAAAAGUUCACAUGAUAGUAUGGGUCGAUGAUUUGAUUAUUGCUGCUAAUGAUGAUGAUGUCUUACAACGUGUCAAAGAAAUGUUGAGAUCAAAGUUUAGAAUGAAAGACCUAGGCAAGCUAAGACAUUUUCUGGGAAUUGACUUUGAACAGUCUGAAGAUUGUGUUAAGAUGUCACAAUGCAAGUACAUACAGAAAGUACUGGAGAGAUUUGACAUGUCAAACUGUAAGUCCAGAGCUACCCCUUGUGAACAAAAACUUGAUUACAAUGAUGAUGCUGAAGUAAUGGAUGAUGUGAAAAAAUACAGAGAAGCAGUUGGGAGCUUGAUAUACUUAGCAACUUGUACAAGGCCUGAUCUGAGUUUUAUAGUGAGUAAACUGUCCCAGUAUUUCACUAGACCAACCACUGAUCAAUGGACAACAGUAAAGCAUGUGCUGAGAUACUUAAAAGGUACUCAGAAUAAAGAACUAAGCUUCAGAAAGCACAAAGAUGAAAACAUAAUCCAUGCUUAUAGUGACGCUAAUUGGGCCGCUGAUAUUGAUCGAAAAAGCAGGACAGGUUACUGUAUUAGCCUGAACAGAAAUGGACCAUUUGUGUCAUGGAAAACUAAAAGACAGCCUACAGUUGCACUAUCUACUUGCGAGGCUGAGUACAUGGCUCUAGCUGCAACUAUGCAGGAGUGCCUAUACUUAAAACAGCUUUUGAAAUAUUUUGAUGGACGGGUGUACAAGUGUUCAAUCUAUGAAGACAACCAGGGCACUAUAGCUCUAGCCAAAAACCCCGUACAAAAACAAAGAUGUAAACAUGUGGACAUUAAAUACCACUUUAUAAGAUCUACUUUACAGAAGGAUGAUAUGAUAUUGGAGUACUGCCCAACCAAUGAGAUGGUUGCAGACAUCCUGACGAAACCAGCCAGUAAGCUGAAGUUAAUGGACUUUGAAACCUUUAUGUUUGGUGAUUGAACUAUGUACUAUUAAUGGACUCUGAACUGUAUGAUUUUUUUUUGACUAAUGUAAAGAGAAAAAAAAAAAACCUGUGGAAUUUCUGUUGACAUGAGUUCUGUAUAAUGUGAGAAAAUGUGAGCAAGCGGGGGUGUUGAGAUGUGCUCUCAUUUCAUUUUUGUUUCUAGACGUCAUUCUUUUUGUAACUACCUUGUCAAUCUAGACGUCAUGUCACGUGAUCCUAAUCAGUGAAUUGGUCACAGGUAUGCUGUCUCUAAUUAAAACAGCUGAGCCCGUGCGUGCGCGUUGGCUCACUCAGAAAGAAACACUUGUGUGUUAUGUGUGUUUUUUCGCUAAACGUUGUGCAGGAAAAACCCACUCUGCUAACAGAGUCAACACACAUCUGUUACCAAUUUAAGUGCCUCUGAUCAACCCCAAAUAAAGUUCAGCUGUUCUAGUAGCUGUUCUUUUCCCGACAUUUUUGUAGCCACAUCUUACAGCACAAGCCAUGGUCUGCAGAGAGCUUCCAAAGCAUCAGAGGGAUCUCAUUAUUCAAAGAUAUCAGUCAGGUGAGGGCUACAAAAGAAUUUCCAAGGAAGUAAAUGUACCAUGGAACACAGUAAAGACCGUCAUCAUCAAGCGGAGAAAAUAUGGCACAACAGUAACAUUACCAAGAACAGGACGUCCGUCCAAAAUUGAUGAUUAGACGAGAAGAAAACUGGUCAGGGAGGCUACCAAGAGGCUGACAGCAACACUGAAGGAGCUGCAGGAAUUUCUGGCAAGUACUGGCUGUGUAGUACAUGUGACAACAAUCUCCCGCUGUCUUCAUAUGUGUGGGCUAUGGGGUAGGGUGGCAAGAUGGAAGCUUAUCUUACAAAGAAAAACAUCAAAGCCCGGCUUAAUUUUGCAAAAAGACAUCUGAAAUCUCCCAAACCCAUGUGGGAAAAUGUGUUAUGGUCUGAUGAAACCAAAGUUGAACUUUUUGGGCAUAAUUGCAAAAGGUAUAUUUGGCGUAAAAACAACACUGCUCAUCACCAAAAGAACACCAUACCCACAGUGAAGCAAGGUUGUGGCAGUAUCAUGCUUUGGGGCUGUUUUUCUUCAGCUGGAACUGGUGCCUUAGUCAGGGUGGAGGGAAUGAUGAACAGUUCCAAAUACCAGUCAGUGUUGGCACAAAACCUGCGGCCUUCUGCUAGAAAGCUGAAGAUGAAGACGAACUUCAUCUCCCAGUAUGACAAUGACCCAAAGCACACAUCUAAAUCAACAAAAAAAUGGCGUCACCGGAAUAAGAUUGAGACUUUGGAAUGGCCCAGCCAGAGCCCAGACCUGAAUCCCAUCGAACAUUUGUGGGGUGAUCUGAAGAGGGCUGUGCAUAGAAGAUGCCCUCCUAAUCUGUCAGAUUUGGAGCAGUUUUUCAAAGAAAAGUGGGCAAAUAUUGCCAUAUCAAGAUGUGCCAUGCUGAUAGACUCCUACCCAAUAGACUGAGUGCUGGAAUAAAAGCCAAAGGUGCCGCAACAAAGUAUUAGUUUAGGGGUGUGCAUAUUUAUGCAACCAGGUUAUUUUAACUUUUAUAUUUUAUAUUUUUCCCCUUUAAAGGUU